AUCAACAGGCUGCCGGCCACUGAUUGGUCAGAGAAUGUCAUCACUGGACAAGUCAUGAGCCCGCCGUCUGAGAGUCAAACCUGUCAUUUUUAAAUACUUGCAGCGGCGUUACAGCAACCGGACUUUUCUUACAUUUCACAUCGAGUUUUUUUACUCGCACAAAACCACACCGUGGUCUGUGGAUAUGUUGCGGACAUUUCUGUGUUUGGUGGAGGAGGAGAGAAUACAGAGAGGUGGAUGAAGUGAUCCGAAAUGACAAAAUCUCCCAGGUUCUGGCUGCGCAUGUGUACCGGACAUGACAGCAAUGUAGAGAACAGCUGAAAAAGCUUAAAAGUGAUUAGAGGACCACAAUGGCUGGAGUAGGUCAGACUGUAAGGGCUGGAAAAAGUUCGACCACAGGAACGCUGUUUACGGACACCGACCAGCGAGCCCUGGGAGCAGGAUGACCACAACUCGGCCACGGCUUUGUUGGAGGCGACGAUGGAUCCAGUUGCAUAAGUGAGGAGGCCUCGACCACCGGCUUCAACAUCUGUAUCAGCGGCUACCAUCACACGGCAACAUGUUAUCACUGGCAAGAGAAAAAGGAGUAUGUUCCAGCAGGAGAAUCUGUCCAUCCUGAGUGAUGUUGAGGCUGAAGCUUAACUGGGCCCAGUGUGAUCAACACAUCCGACUGAUCCUCGAUGAAGCAAUGGGGGUGGAAGCUGUGUUUAAUCAAGCAUUCCUUGGUGUGCUGGGUGCCCCCACCCCAGGACUAUAUACACAUGUAACAUUUGUAUAAUUUGCUGUGUUGCAUAGAUUUUUUUUUUUUUUGUAUUUGCUCUUCUUUUAGUUGCAGUAAACAGUUUGACUUAAGUGAUUGUAUCAUAAUUUUCUGUAAUUUCAGGCU